AUCCAAGAAGCCUGGACAUUGAGGAGAGGGACAGCCCAGCACUGACUUUCCAUGGAGCUCAGGCAUAGAGCGCCUUGUUCCAAAAUGGGAUCCAGCAGGACUUCUGACAACUGGAAACUCCAGGCAAUCACCAAACAGAUAUCACAGAGUUUAGAAGUGCCCUGGCAUUUUAAAUAGGUAGGUUUUUCCAAGAGAACUUGGAUACCACUGUGAGCAUCCUUCAGCAAUGGCGACUGAAAGAUUCCUUCACAAGGAUUAUAUUUUGCUGGGAGCUGUUCGUGCAGGUCUGCCUGCUGACAAAGUCCGGGAGACUGAGGACCCCAGACUGCACAGCACAUCUGGGAAAGUGACAGUCCUGCUUCUGCUUCUCUGCCUGCUUAUGCUGUUAAUAAAAACUGCGAGAGCUGGGAAAUUGCUGCCAAAUCAAAACUCCCCCCAAAAAAGGCCCAGGAAAGGGUAAAGGUCGGGAAUUAGUGCUUACUCAUAAGCUGCCAGAAACCCCUAAAAUCCCUACAAUCCCCCCUUUUUCUAGCCCUCCUUAACCCUGGGGAUUGCCCCUCUCUAAUAUAAUGCUUUCGUAUCGGGAGUGCUAUUCCUUUCACUCUCAGUGGAAGUUUGACAAUCAGCCAGGGCAUACACCAUUCAAUUUAUGACGAGGAUCUCAUUUUCCUUGCCAGGGAAUGAUGGGUAAACAUAAUUGUUACUGGGCAUUGACAAGGGGAAA
rnacentral:lncRNA from 1 species